UGUUUUCCUUCAUUUCUUUUCCACUGAAGAAAGAAAGACAUGAACAUCUUGGAUGACAUGGAGUAUCAGGAAAUUUGAAUUCUGAAUCCUUUAAAGGCAGAAAUGUGCUUGUAUUUUUGUCUAAGCUGAAGUGUAAAAACAAACAAAAUUGGAAAAAUAAUGACUUUGAUCGAACAGGUAUAGCCCCGCCCACUCAGAGCAUUGGUUGAGCCAAUGUCAAUCAAACAUGUAAAUCAGUACAACUGGUGCAGAAAUUAAGCACUUCUUCACCUUUAAUUAAUAAAUCAGUAUCAAUGUGCGUUAUUAGAGCUGUUAAUUAUGAAAUUUUUCUUUUGGAGCUGAAAUAAUGGAUGCACCUUUACACAGAUAAGGCUAUAGUAAGUGAUUCUGUCCCUAGCUGACAAAAAUAUGUUCUUUUAACAUUUUGCAUCUCACAUAUGCUGUAUAAACAACAAAAAAGAUUCACAAAUCCAUCACCAGAACAAACGCAGCACAGUUGAAUUACUCAUUAUUUCGAAUGGCGUGUUCUGCAGAAAUGGGAUUGGUGUUUUAUUAUGAUUUAUGUAAUGGAAUAUGCCUCUGUGGAAUAUGUAUUCCAGACAGCAGGAAAUGAUUUUCAUAAUCAUGCUUUAGGUUUGUUAAUGAGCGAUCAGCAGUACAUAAUCUCAUUUACUGGUGUGAAGGAGCAAUCAACAUCUCAAUUAUUCCCGCCUAAUAUCGUCAAUGAUUUCCAAACGGCCCGCGGCGGGAAUUAACUCUGCCAAGAAUGUGCGCGCGCUGCUGUUGCCGUGCCAACAAGCAGCAUUCUGAAGAAGAGAGCGGGAAAUUUCCUUCUGUUGUCCGUUAUGAUGUCAUCACGUGACACAUGCAAGGAAAUAUACGCUUUCUCUGCGAAUCUGCCCUAAGAAUAACACACUUUUCGUGCUUUCUCUGCUGUUGGUGUACUGUGCAAGCUUGUGUCUGUUCUGAAUGGAGUCAUGCUGCAGCAUCAUGUGACGUCCACUAGGGGUCCCGCUGUGUGUUGAGGGUCCGGUGGGAGGGACCGCCUCGCUCUCAGUGGAACGGCAGCGGAUUGGUGACACGGAGUGGAUAUCCCUCUACAUCUGUUGAGUUUUGAGCGACAUGAAGACGGGUGUGUUACAUCACAGUCCGAGGAGAGGGAAACAGGGACAGAUGUAACAUCGGUGACCCCAAUCGACUGAAGCGCCGCUCUCUUCCUCUGGAGGACAGACGCAGGAUUCUCUGCAGUCUCUUUCUUUUCCAUUUCAGUCAUUCUGUGCGUCUGUCCGUCCGUCAGUGAUCCUGCAUCUCUCCAGUGCCGCUCUGACGGUGGUGAUGAACCUGACCUGAUUGAAAACGCUGCUGCAGUCACGUUCAGAAGACGAUUAUUGUGGGUCAGUCUGCUGGUUAAUGGAGAACAGUCACCUUGACUCGAUCGAUGUCUGUUAUGAAGAGUAAUAUCAGCUCCUGACUGCAUCACGGCGGUCGUUUCGUCUCCUCAGCCGCAGGAAACACUGUUGCUCAACUUCAGCGUUCAGGACAGUCGAAUCAUUACACAACGAGUUUAGAAACACAAACAGAACGUGACGAGAGAAACAGCUUGUGAGACGCCUACAUAGACAGCAUUUCUAGGCUGUUUAACAGAAUGUGGCAAAAACACCAAAAUAAAAUAUGAGGAACAAAAUUCUGAUGGAUUUUUCAUGUUUUAGUGACUCUGGUUGUUUUGGUGAGACCAGAGGAAACACCAUCUGCUUCAGACGGGUCCAGCACAGGAGAACAACACCAGCACCACCAUAAGAACAUCUCCAUCACUGACAGACACAGAGACAGACAGCAGUGAUGGUCUGAAGGCAGCAGAUGGGUGACAAACAGUCUGGCUGCAGGAGUCAAGGUGAACGCUACACCUGUUGUUUACCUGACAGAGCUCUGGACAGGAAAUAUGAGGCAAUCAUGUUCAUCAAGCCACAGUCAAGCAGGAAAUCAUUUGCAACCGACAUCAUCAUCCACCUGUUGGAGUCGGAGCCGCUUUUCAGACUCUCCAUUAACCUGCAGCAGAGUUCACGUCUGAGUAAUAUCGGUUGUGAAGACGCUGUGGAAGAAACAAACACUGCGGUUCUUGUAGUGUUGUCAUCCUUCAUCUGCAGCCCACUGGGAUCAUCCCUCUCUACGAUUCACCAUUCUGACUUCUGAGUGUGUUUAGAGAAACGUAACUAACCUGACAGCAGUCAAACACACUUGAUCACUUAUUUCUGUCUGAUCCGCUCACAGGCUGUUCAUCAGUUUGACUUCUUUAUUUGUAUGUUUGAUUGGCGUCUGCUGUCCUCGGACACUGAGACUACAGCGAGAAGUGCUGACAUCAGCGUUCCUGCAGUGCACUCUGGGACAGACACGUUCUGCUGACACACAGUCCUUUCUCUCAAAACCUCAUAUUAGACCACAAACUUCUCCUUGUCUCCAUUUUUCAGAUGGGUCGGUGUUUCUGCUGUGUGUGUGUGAUCUGGAGCGGAUGCUGAUGGAUGGACUAUCCGUGGCUCUCUGUUGAUUCAGCAGUUGGAUUCAGCACUUUCCAGGAAAAACACCUCCUCUUCAGGAUGGAUGAAACCUCGGCUUCAUGAGCGGCUCUACAGCAGGACCAUCAAUCCAUCAUUAUAAGAUGUUUAAAUGUGCCGCAUGCAAAUGGAGCGAGUGUUUGAUGUGCAGAGUUUAACAGCGUCACACAGGAAGUGACACUCAUAUAUUCAUACAUGCUAAUUCUCAUCAUUCGGACCUGAUACAGUUUUUUUUAAUUGCUUAUGCACUAAAAGUGAGGCUGAACUGAACCUUCAAAGCAAGUCUGCAAAACUGCAAAUGCAUCACGUGCUUUAAAAUUAGUUUGCAUUUGUAAAGCAAACUUUUUUGCAAAACUCUAAACACAGUUCUCUACUGUAGACACAUACAGCUUGUGUUUUAUUUGGGAAACACUGACAUUUAAAUAUCACAAUCAUUUACUGAUGACCUACAGCCAAUCAUCAAGUGCGAAAACACUUGACUUGAUCACUUAGAAAUCAACAAACACAUGUGAGUGUGCGUCCUGUAAACUGAUCUGACCGCUAAAAUACUCUGUGUCCCAGUCACAUGACCACCAUGACGGAGGUCGCAUGAAUAAAUUUGGAUUCUCUUG